GACGAACCGUCCAAACGUUAUUCGGAAUUACUGGGCUUAAAGGGUGCGUAGGCUGCGCUGUUAGUCAGGUGUGAAAUCCCUCAGCUUAACUGAGGAAUUGCGCUCGAUACUGCAGUGCUGGAGGGAGACAGGGGUAAGCGGAACUGAUGGUGGAGCGGUGAAAUGCGUUGAUAUCAUCAGGAACACCGGUGGCGAAAGCGGCUUACUGGGUCUCUUCUGACGCUGAGGCACGAAAGCUAGGGGAGCGAACGGGAUUAGAAACCCUGUAGUCC
rnacentral:rRNA from 1 species